rnacentral:piRNA from 1 species
UGCUCUGGUGAUGGGUGCACCAAAAUCU